UAUAUUUUAUUAUGUUACAGGACCUAACAAGUGGAGUGCUCUACUUUACAUUGACACUGGCAACCUGCCUUUCUGCUUCUGUUUGAUGCCAGUUCUCCGGUAUUCACUUCUUUCUGCAAGAUACUCAUUGGUGCAACGUUUUUGAACUCCUCGUCCUGGUACCAUCUCCUAGGCAGUCUUUGAGCGCAGUGUUCUCGUUGCGACAGGAAAAUACCAUCAGCAGUGAAUUUUGCUGCAACACUCUGAGAACUUAAGAACUUCUUCAGGACAUUUUUCUACCUUGGCGAUGUCUCGCAUUUUUAGGGAUCAUUACUUCGAUCUCCACCUUUCGCAACGAACGAUCAUUAGGGUCACCGAGACCGUGCGGACCACCACCAUAUCUAUUAGGAAGGACUCCUUCACCUCCCAUUCUGCAAUUUUAUUAAUAUUAAUUUCAGAGGUUAGAGCAAACGCUUCUACGGAAUACAUACACUAAUAGUAGGCAACCCGCAGAUCAGAUAGAAUCGUUAAUUUAUUUAUUUCGAGUUUCUUCCCGUCAUAUUAAAGUUCAGAAGGUCCUUUACACCAUUCACGGCAUCUUCAUUUUGCCCGAAACUAAAAACAUGGGAUGGAAAACGUCUACCUCGUGCACUAAUUCAUUUUUUCUACUUUCACUAGAUACGAAUUUGAAAAAGAUUUACCGUUAGCUUUAAUAGUUAACAAGAAAAGUGCGAUAAACCGAAUUCAUUUUCUAAACUAGAAAAAACAAGUCUUCAAGGACACAAUAUCUUGAAAAUAUUAUCUUAAUAUCAUUUUGUUUCAGAUGAUUUUUUCAAGUAGUAAUCGCACAUUAUAGUUUUAGAUAUUCUACAUUUGUGAAGAAACAGAAGUACCAAUUAUUCGUGAGCAUUUCAAGGACGUUUCCAGAGAUGGAAAAUUAAAAAUGUUUACCUCGCAAAGAGCCUAAAAAGAUAUCCUCCCAAUGCAUGUACAGUAAAAUCUCAAGCCCCUCCCAAAGUUAAUUAAUAGGUUUCACAAGCAAGAAACCAAGGAUUCAUAGAGAAACAAGCACAAUCAAAGAAAAGGGUCGAAAGAGGACCAGAAAAUAAUGCCACCGAAAGAGAGGAUAGCCCAAGAAGGAUCAAAUGCAGUCUAGGAGAGCGCCCGAAGAGGACUAUAAAAGAUCGUCAAAAUCUCGUCGAAGAAAAGACAAAGAAGAGUACCAGACAAAGUCGAAGCAAAUAGGAAUCUAAUUUUUCUUAAAAAUUUCGUAUUACACAAAACCCCAAUAAUUAGUUCGUGCGUGAUUAUCAAGGUAAACUUUGCUGUUUAGUAUGAUACAAAAACACAAAUAUAGGUGUCAGGUACCUUUCGAUAUGGUGAACAAAUCGUAUAAACGAGCGUUGCAAUUGUUUUGCGAUCGAAUAUCACCAAUCGUAGAAUUCUAAACAAUUACUGUGCUGCCACGGGCAGCAGACCAUGCCCGUUGUAAUUGUCAAGUCAUUCGUCUCAAGCAUAGACCAAUAAUAUAAAAAUGCCAUUUUCGGAUGAAGGUAAGUCUGUAACAUCAUGGGGCACAGUACCAUUUGAUAAUAAUAUAAGACUUGGGAACACGCUUCCAAGUAACUCAACGUCAAGUCCAAAAGUGAAAGAGAGAGCAAAAAUUCGUCAACGAUUAUUGUCAAUGGAGCUGGUAAUUACAAAAUUUAUAUAGAAACGAUGCAGGAAAGGGUUUCGAGACACCCACUACGGUACCUGUCAUCGCAUCAACAUAUCCCAAAGGUACCAAACGCGAAUGCCCCGACAAACCAAUUAAAACUUCAAAAUUGCCAAAACGGACUCUCAGACGGUUACAAAUCAUUCAAUUGACAAAUCGGGUAUUCUGCACGAUCGACUCUUGUAUCAAAUGCAUCCUGAAACACAAUAUCUACAGCAAUAUAUACCGUUACCCACAGAACCUAUCGUCCUUAAAAUUCCCUGCACAAUUCCAAGUACAUUUAUGGCUUCUUAUCCCAAGCCUUUGACAAUGAAAACGGGCGCAUACACGCACAUCUUGAGAAAUGAACAAAUGAAUCAUCAACGUGCCGAUAUUGAGGCCAUCACCAAAUUGUGCUUCUCGCAAAAUCAACGUCCAAUAAAACUACAAACGCAUACAUCAACUACGCUUCCGUGCAAAAUCAUACAGCAAGAAGAUAGUGCAUAGGAACUAUAUUAAAUACGUUGGUAGACGCAAAAUAUAUAUGUGAUGCCUAUUAUAGGUUUUCCAUCACUUUUAAUAAAUAUCUUUAUAUCUUUUGCACACACCUCUUCUGAAUAAAUUUGUGUCGUUAUUUUAGCGAAGAGCCAACCCGGCGGCCAUGGCUUGAAGAUUCAGACACUGUCUUUAAAUUGCGUAGAACUUAAUUAUUCAAAAGGGAGAAUCAUUCUCUCUAAUUGGUCGUACCGAUGCAUCAGGAACAUCUGUAAGGAUUGACGUUUUUGAUUAAAUUUAUUUCUUUCGUUUUAAAACAAAAUGCAAAAAUCUGUCUUCAAAACUAUGCACAUGAAUGACUUGUCCGCGGGAAACUAAUUCUCUACGGUUUUGGGUGUAGUAAAUUGUAAAUGAUUUCAUUACUUUAAGAAUGUUAGUCUAAAUAAACAUUUACCACUGUCGCUGCUAUUAUUCGGAGCGCGUUCUUCAAUCUGUAUUCAAUUGUAUGGUAAGCGCGGGCAACAAAUAGCGCAGUAUUUAACACAAUAUUAUUAUUUAUCUAACUAAUACAUCUUUAUAAAUGCGCUGAUCAAGAACAACAUAAUAUACAUACUUCCAUACGCAAACAAGUUCACAAUCUCAAGAUAAAACAAUGCGUUCAUAAAUAAUAAUAAAAAAUGCUUUAUCAUUAGCACCAGACAUAAGAACCAAUAUCUGUCGGUUGCAUAGUUGUCGCAAAGCGGAUUAGCAUCCUACACAUGCACUUACUUAACUGUGAGCACGCGAGUUUGAAAGUUUCUACAUAAUUCCGAAUUAACAGUAUCAUUUUUUCAUACAAUCUCUACACAGUAUAUUAACUUAAAUGUGUGAAGAUAAAGAUUUCACAACAGAUAUAAAGCAAGUUACAUGUGUUCGCCAUCCGAAAUUGUUUUGCUUAAUUAAUAUCAUCAUAUAUAUCUAUAUAUAUUACUCUGUCUACGAUAGUUGUAAAUCAAUCCAGAAAAUAGCAUGUAAA